GGCGAUAGAUGGAUAACAAUAAUGCUAGUAAUUUGAGAAAAUCAUCAACAUAUGUUCUACUGAAAGUAGGAAAAAAAAUUGCCAUUUCUAUGCUUCGGUUGUGGCUUGAUAUCAACUGCUCCUUGGUGCACCACAUGGUCACGGGAAAUAUUAUAGGCACAAUUAGUUUAGUACGCAGAUACAUAGGAGUUAUAUUAUUUUAAUGUGGAUAAUCCUCAUUCCACUGGUUAUCUGUGGUCUUUGAUUUUAUAUAAGUGUUUGUUUAAGUUGGUCAAUGAAAUUGAUAGGAUUCUCAUGUGCUUGGUGCAUUCCCUCUUUCCCUAAUGGGGAAAUGUACAAGCUGUCUUGUAAGACACACUCAAUGAGCUUCAGA
rnacentral:lncRNA from 1 species